GGAGAAAUGGCAGAGUGGCCUAAUGCACUCCUUUGCUAAAGGAGCAUAUAUUAUAUCGUAGGUUCAAAUCCUACUUUCUCUA
rnacentral:tRNA from 1 species